CUGUGUUAGCAUUGCCAGCUUGAACGGCCCAAAAAUAGAUGUGGAAGGUUGCAAAGCAUGUAGAUGCAGGGCGAAUUCUCAGAAAACCAAGGGGAAGUAUGUCAGAGGGAACAAAGGAGGAAAUGUUGCGGAGGAGGAUGUCUACCUAUGUUUACCUGACUGCGCGAAUACAACCACCACCUCAGUGACACCAUCCAUCACGGCAACUGUUACCACAACUGGAACACCAUCUGUUACUCCAUCAGGAACACCAUCAGUAACUCAAACACCUUCCGCUACUCCAUCAGUAACAGCAUCCGGAACACCCUCGGUUACCUCAACUGGGACGCCAUCUCUGACACCAUCAGGAACACCAUCCACGACUCCAUCAG